rnacentral:rRNA from 1 species
GAUGAACGCUGGCGGCGUGCCUAAUACAUGCAAGUCGAGCGAACGGACGAGAAGCUUGCUUCUCUGAUGUUAGCGGUGGACGGGUGAGUAACACGUGGAUAACCUACCUAUAAGACUGGGAUAACUUCGGGAAACCGGAGCUAAUACCGGAUAAUAUUUUGAACCGCAUGGUUCAAAAGUGAAAGACGGUCUUGCUGUCACUUAUAGAUGGAUCCGCGCUGCAUUAGCUAGUUGGUAAGGUAACGGCUUACCAAGGCAACGAUGCAUAGCCGACCUGAGAGGGUGAUCGGCCACACUGGAACUGAGACACGGUCCAGACUCCUACGGGAGGCAGCAGUAGGGAAUCUUCCGCAAUGGGCGAAAGCCUGACGGAGCAACGCCGCGUGAGUGAUGAAGGUCUUCGGAUCGUAAAACUCUGUUAUUAGGGAAGAACAUAUGUGUAAGUAACUGUGCACAUCUUGACGGUACCUAAUCAGAAAGCCACGGCUAACUACGUGCCAGCAGCCGCGGUAAUACGUAGGUGGCAAGCGUUAUCCGGAAUUAUUGGGCGUAAAGCGCGCGUAGGCGGUUUUUUAAGUCUGAUGUGAAAGCCCACGGCUCAACCGUGGAGGGUCAUUGGAAACUGGAAAACUUGAGUGCAGAAGAGGAAAGUGGAAUUCCAUGUGUAGCGGUGAAAUGCACAGAGAUAUGGAGGAACACCAGUGGCGAAGGCGACUUUCUGGUCUGUAACUGACGCUGAUGUGCGAAAGCGUGGGGAUCAAACAGGAUUAGAUACUCUGGUAGUCCACGCCGUAAACGAUGAGUGCUAAGUGUUAGGGGGUUUCCGCCCCUUAGUGCUGCAGCUAACGCAUUAAGCACUCCGCCUGGGGAGUACGACCGCAAGGUUGAAACUCAAAGGAAUUGACGGGGACCCGCACAAGCGGUGGAGCAUGUGGUUUAAUUCGAAGCAACGCGAAGAACCUUACCAAAUCUUGACAUCCUUUGACAACUCUAGAGAUAGAGCCUUCCCCUUCGGGGGACAAAGUGACAGGUGGUGCAUGGUUGUCGUCAGCUCGUGUCGUGAGAUGUUGGGUUAAGUCCCGCAACGAGCGCAACCCUUAAGCUUAGUUGCCAUCAUUAAGUUGGGCACUCUAAGUUGACUGCCGGUGACAAACCGGAGGAAGGUGGGGAUGACGUCAAAUCAUCAUGCCCCUUAUGAUUUGGGCUACACACGUGCUACAAUGGACAAUACAAAGGGCAGCGAAACCGCGAGGUCAAGCAAAUCCCAUAAAGUUGUUCUCAGUUCGGAUUGUAGUCUGCAACUCGACUACAUGAAGCUGGAAUCGCUAGUAAUCGUAGAUCAGCAUGCUACGGUGAAUACGUUCCCGGGUCU